rnacentral:rRNA from 1 species
UCGGGAAUUUUGGGCAAUGGGCGAAAGCCUGACCCAGCAACGCCGCGUGAAGGAUGAAGUAUUUCGGUAUGUAAACUUCGUAAGAAUAGGAAGAAUAAAUGACGGUACUAUUUGUAAGGUCCGGCUAACUACGUGCCAGCAGCCGCGGUAAUACGUAGGGACCAAGCGUUGUUCGGAUUUACUGGGCGUAAAGGGCGCGUAGGCGGCAUGACAAGUCACUUGUGAAAUCUCUGGGCUUAACCCAGAACGGCCAAGUGAUACUGUCGCGCUAGAGUGCAGAAGGGGCAAUCGGAAUUCUUGGUGUAGCGGUGAAAUGCGUAGAUAUCAAGAGGAACACCUGAGGUGAAGACGGGUUGCUGGGCUGACACUGACGCUGAGGCGCGAAAGCCAGGGGAGCAAACAGGAUUAGAUACCCAUGUAGUCCCUGAGCGGGCUGGCAAGGCGCAU